rnacentral:Y_RNA from 1 species
GGUUGGUCCGAGUGCAGUGGGGUCCACAACUAAUGGAUCAUAAGCAGUUACAGGUUCCUUUGUUCCUUCUCCACUCCCACUGCUUCACUUGACCAGCCUUUA